rnacentral:tRNA from 1 species
AGAAGCUUAGGAUAAAUAAAACCAGGAGCCUUCAAAGCCCCAAACAAGAGAUGUUAGCCUCUUAGUUUCUG